CUCAAUUAACCUGCCACGGCCUAGCUAACGUUGCACCUAGCUGCUGGUAUCAGUACACACGUCUAGCUACUGCUCUUUAUAAUUAAAUCAAAAUGUACAAGAUAAAUAAUUAAUCUGCAAAUCCCGCAUCGCUUGCAAAACAAAAAAUCAGUGAAAUGAGCGACGCAGCUGCCGGACAGUAUAAACCAGACAGCUGUUAAAUGCUAGCAGUAAACUAGCAUGCUAGCUUAGCUUAGUAACCGUUGGUAUUAAAUGAGCAGUUACACGUCUGCCUAGUAUUUAAAAAUGUAUGUAGCUGUGAGAACUAUAAUCAGAGCUGUGUAUUCAUCUUUUCUCCUGACAUUUACACCCACUCUACGUGCUGUUCCCGUGUCGGGUCUGGAUGAAUGAAAAUUAGCUGGCUAACAGGCUAGAUAGCUACCCACCCAGUUAACGCUAGCUAGCUUGGACGCUGAUACUUCCUGUUUCAGCAAAUCGUCCGACAUUAACGGCACCGUCCACAGCAAGCCACGGAUUCAUAGCGUGUCAAAGCAAAGCGUUAAACUCACCCCGGUCCCAUUGUCACAGACCACCACUUUCCUUCCCUGGCUGUCCAUUGUGUAAAAGCCCAGUUGUCGCUGAACCUCCCUCAACUUUCUUCGGCAAGCCGGAAGGAAGACACACCAACCCGGCCAGGGAGAAGGAAGGGCAGGGUGUUCAUCCGCUCUACUACUCAGAUCAAACAGGGCACUGCAUGUGAAAACGCCAGGAUGAGCUAAGUGGAGAGUGAAUGAUCAGUAAUGUAUGAAGAAGGAAAAUAUUCUUUCUUAUCCCACACUCACUCACAAAGGCUACAUUUCUUACUAUGCAUUCUUUGGGUACGAGAAUGCUUGGGAACAUAAGGACUUUGGCCAGCAUGAAAGACAGGUUAGGCAGUCCAGAGAUCACUCUGCCAGCUUCCACACUCAGCUCUUCAUCCUGCUGAGACUUCCUGAUAAAAACAGCAGAUGGACAUCAGGCGAUUCAGUGUGUCCUCCAUGUGGCUACUGUUAACUCCCGUUUCCAGUUUGCUGAUGGUCAACUCAUACAGCUCACGGUCAACUCCUUUACACUUGCUGACCUGGAGGAGGACUGUUGCUACGGCUGCUGCUGCUGCUGUAGGAUCUGCCCUCCUCCUCAGGACCAAAAUAAUCCAGGUUGAGAGCAGUGCAGUCUGUGCUAAUCAGAGGGGAGACAGUGAGGAAUGUUCUGGGCUGUGGAGGGACGGGGCAGCUUGAUUUCUUAUUCAUAAAAAAGGAGAAUGAGCAUCUACUUGUGACUGAUGUUUUCUCAUUUUACUGAGACAGUGGGAAGACCGAGAGAAUGACAGACACAGCAAACGAAGCUCAACAAAGCAAUGCAAAGUUUUUGUUAUCCAGAGUCUUUUAUAUUCAGAUUCACAGGCCCCUUAACCAUGAAAUAUCCACCACCUAGUAUGAGGUCACUUAAACUUCACAUGGAAAUAUCCUGACUCAGCUGACAAGGUGGGCCAAACAGCCUCUGGAUGUUGUUGUAGUUUGUUAGCAUAAGAAUGUCUCAGAUCAUAACAAAAGGGUUGAAGCUACCCGAAAAACUUUUUAAUCUUUUAAGAUGUUACAAUAUUUUAUAUGCUACCCCUUAACACUUUCAAUAAUUUGGUAGUUACCUGCCAUAAUAAAUUAUCGCUGUCCCAACUUUAAAAGGGUGGACUAAGCAGGUUAGCUAGGAAAUCUAAACUGUUUUAUAUCCUUUGUCUUGUAAAUAAAACAAACCACCACAUCCAUAGAUGUUUGAAUACUGCAACUUUGCAUUCGGCCACAGAGAAAAGU